rnacentral:rRNA from 1 species
UACAGAGGGGGCAAGCGUUGUUCGGAAUUACGUGGCGUAAAGGGCGCGUAGGCGGCCUUGUUAAGUCGAACGUGAAAAUCCCCAGGCUCAACCGUGGGAACUCGCGUCCCGAUACUGGCAGGCUUGAAUCCGGGAGAGGGAUGUCGGAAUUCCAGGGUGUAGCGGUGAAAUGCGUAGAUAUCUGGAGGAACACCGGUGGCGAAGGCGGGACAUCCCUGGACCGGUAAGU